rnacentral:rRNA from 1 species
UACGAAGGGGGCUAGCGUUGUUCGGAUUUACUGGGCGUAAAGCGCACGUAGGCGGAUCGUUAAGUCGGGGGUGAAAUCCUGGAGCUCAACUCCAGAACUGCCUUCGAUACUGGCGAUCUUGAGUCCGGAAGAGGUGAGUGGAACUCCUAGUGUAGAGGUGGAAUUCGUAGAUAUUAGGAAGAACACCAGUGGCGAAGGCGGACUCACUGGUCCGGUACUGACGCUGAGGUGCGGAAAGCGUGGGGAGCAAACAGGG